rnacentral:rRNA from 1 species
UGGGGAAUAUUGCACAAUGGGCGAAAGCCUGAUGCAGCAACGCCGCGUGAAGGAAGAAGGGUUUCGGCUCGUAAACUUCUAUCAACAGGGAAGAAAAAAAUGACGGUACCUGAAUAAGAAGCCCCGGCUAACUACGUGCCAGCAGCCGCGGUAAUACGUAGGGGGCAAGCGUUAUCCGGAAUUACUGGGUGUAAAGGGAGAGUAGGCGGUAUGAUAAGUAAGAUGUGAAAGCCCGGGGCUUAACCUCGGGAUUGCAUUUUAAACUAUCAAACUAGAGUACAGGAGAGGUAAGUGGAAUUCCUAGUGUAGCGGUGAAAUGCGUAGAUAUUAGGAAGAACACCAGUGGCGAAGGCGACUUACUGGACUGAAACUGACGCUGAGGCUCGAAAGCGUGGGGAGCGAACA